rnacentral:rRNA from 1 species
AGGAUGAACGCUGGCGGCGUGCUUAACACAUGCAAGUCGAACGAUGAACCUCACUUGUGGGGGAUUAGUGGCGAACGGGUGAGUAACACGUGAGUAACCUGCCCUUAACUCUGGGAUAAGCCUUGGAAACAGGGUCUAAUACUGGAUAUUGACUUUUCACCGCAUGGUGGUUAGUUGAAAGAUUUAUCGGUUUUGGAUGGACUCGCGGCCUAUCAGCUUGUUGGUGAGGUAAUGGCUCACCAAGGCGACGACGGGUAGCCGGCCUGAGAGGGUGACCGGCCACGACUGGGACUGAGACACGGCCCAGACUCCUACGGGAGGCAGCAGUGGGGAAUAUUGCACAAUGGGCGCAAGCCUGAUGCAGCAACGCCGCGUGAGGGACGACGGCCUUCGGGUUGUAAACCUCUUUAGUAGGGAAGAAGCGAAAGUGACGGUACCUGCAGAAAAGCACCGGCUAACUACGUGCCAGCAGCCGC